rnacentral:rRNA from 1 species
UACAGAGGGUGCAAGCGUUAAUCGGAGUUACUGGGCGUAAAGGGCGCGUAGGCGGUUGUGUAAGUGAGAUGUGAAAUCCCUGGGCUUAACCUAGGAACUGCAUCUUAUACUGCAUAACUGGAGUACUGUAGAGGGUAGUGGAAUUUCCGGUGUAGCGGUGAAAUGCGUAGAGAUCGGAAGGAACACCAGUGGCGAAGGCGGCUACCUGGACAGAUACUGACACUGAGGCGCGAGAGCGUGGGGAGCAAACAGG